AGAGUUUGAUCCUGGCUCAGGACGAACGCUGGCGGCGUGCCUAACACAUGCAAGUCGAGCGAUGAAACCCUUCGGGGUGGAUUAGCGGCGGACGGGUGAGUAACACGUGGGUAACCUGCCUCAAAGAGGGGAAUAGCCUCCCGAAAGGGAGAUUAAUACCGCAUAAUAUGUUUUGAUCGCAUGAUCGAGACAUCAAAGGAUUCUCUUUAGAGUUUCCACUUUGAGAUGGACCCGCGGCGCAUUAGCUAGUUGGUGAGGUAACGGCCCACCAAGGCAACGAUGCGUAGCCGACCUGAGAGGGUGAUCGGCCACAUUGGAACUGAGACACGGUCCAGACUCCUACGGGAGGCAGCAGUGGGGAAUAUUGCGCAAUGGGGGAAACCCUGACGCAGCAACGCCGCGUGAAUGAUGAAGGCCUUCGGGUUGUAAAGUUCUGUCUUCUGGGACGAUAAUGACGGUACCAGAGGAGGAAGCCACGGCUAACUACGUGCCAGCAGCCGCGGUAAUACGUAGGUGGCAAGCGUUGUCCGGAUUUACUGGGCGUAAAGGAUGCGUAGGCGGACAUUUAAGUCAGAUGUGAAAUACCCGAGCUUAACUUGGGUGCUGCAUUUGAAACUGGGUGUCUAGAGUGCAGGAGAGGUAAGUGGAAUUCCUAGUGUAGCGGUGAAAUGCGUAGAGAUUAGGAAGAACACCAGUGGCGAAGGCGACUUUACUGGACUGUAACUGACGCUGAGGCAUGAAAGCGUGGGGAGCAAACAGGAUUAGAUACCCUGGUAG
rnacentral:rRNA from 1 species